CAAUACAGCUCAGUUGGUAGAGCAUGAGUUUCUCAAUCCCAGGGUCAUGAGUUCGAACCCCACAUUGGGUGAAAGA